rnacentral:rRNA from 1 species
AUUGAACGCUGGCGGCAGGCCUAACACAUGCAAGUCUAGCGAGCGGCGGACGGGUGAGUAAUGUCUGGGAAACUGCCUGAUGGAGGGGGAUAACUACUGGAAACGGUAGCUAAUACCGCAUACCAUCAGAUGUGCCCAGAUGUGAAUAGCUAUUAGGUGGGUUAACGGCUCACCUAGGCGACGAGCCCUAGCUGGUCUGAGAGGAUGACGAGCCACACUGGAACGGAGACAGGGUCCAGACUCCUACGGGAGGCAGCAGUGGGGAAUAUUGCACAAUGGGGGCAAGCCGGAUGCAGCCAUGCGGCGUGUGUGAAGAAGGCCUUAGGGUUGUAAAGCACGUUCAGCGGGGAGGCGUUAACCGCAGAAGAAGCACAGGCUAACUCCGUGCCAGCAGCCGCGGUAAUAC